CACAUUUUUAUAAGAAUCACUACCUGUUUUUACGACCAUAAUUUAGUUGUCAAACAAUUUGAAAUCACCCUUAACUUGUGUUAAUGGUUUACUUUAAUGCGAUUUAGCUACUUACUGACAAUACAAUCCAGCUUGCUACUGACACAACCACAGUGAUGCUCUCUCUGCUGACUGACAGGUGCCGAGGGCUCCAGGUUACAGCAUAGAACUACCAUAACUGCUACGUAUGAAUUUCUACAUUUAAUUUUAUUUUUUCGGACUUUACAAAAACAUAUCUGAUAAAUAUAGAGGAUAUAAAUAAAUGUUCUGAUCUUGUGAUGUGACAGUUUCCUUUUUAUACUCCUGACAUCAAGAAUAUUCAUAUCAGCAACAAUAUAUCACCUGUAAUCUUGAGAUGGGAGCUGGAAGGCCCAGGUCAGGUACUUUGCUCUAUAAAAAUAUUCUGUGUAAGAAGCAGAUAUCUUGUUCUUUUCACAGUUCCAGUCUGUUCAGUAAUCUGUGCUGUUUUUUUUUCUUUCUUUUCCGCAAGCAUUAGUGUUCUUUCUGAACUGCCCUUAACUGUCAAUCAUCCAUGUAGCAUUGAUGACAUUUACUUUGACCAUUGGGUGAUAUCAUUGAUUAAUCAUAGUCGAUGAAGCUGCCUUUACCACAUAAUACCCCUAGAGGACUCAUGUGUCAGCUAUAGAAUGGCACUAAACAAAUCACUUCCUUGUCUAGCUGCUGAAGAUUCCCAGAAAGCUACACAGAAAGGAAUAAAGCACCACUUAUAUAUAGAUGAACGGAUGACAG